rnacentral:rRNA from 1 species
AGCGAACGCUGGCGGCAGGCCUAACACAUGCAAGUCGAACGAACUCUUCGGAGUUAGUGGCGGACGGGUGAGUAACACGUGGGAACGUGCCUUUUGGUUCGGAAUAACUCAGGGAAACUUGUGCUAAUACCGAAUGUGCCCUUCGGGGGAAAGAUUUAUCGCCAUUAGAGCGGCCCGCGUCUGAUUAGCUAGUUGGUGAGGUAACGGCUCACCAAGGCGACAAUCAGUAGCUGGUCUGAGAGGAUGACCAGCCACACUGGGACUGAGACACGGCCCAGACUCCUACGGGAGGCAGCAGUGGGGAAUCUUGCGCAAUGGGCGAAAGCCUGACGCAGCCAUGCCGCGUGAAUGAUGAAGGUCUUAGGAUUGUAAAAUUCUUUCACCGGGGACGAUAAUGACGGUACCCGGAGAAGAAGCCCCGGCUAACUUCGUG